rnacentral:ncRNA from 2 species
AUAAUGCGCUGGGGGAGCCUGAACUUGCAUUUGCAUUUUCUUAAUAUGGCUGAGAACUUUAAACUCUUAAACACCUGAUCAGGUUAAUACCUGCGAAGGGAAGCGUUUCUGUUUAAAA